rnacentral:rRNA from 1 species
GACGAACGCUGGCGGCGUGCUUAACACAUGCAAGUCGAACGGAAAGGCCCUGCUUUUGUGGGGUGCUCGAGUGGCGAACGGGUGAGUAACACGUGAGUAACCUGCCCCUGACUUUGGGAUAACUUCAGGAAACUGGGGCUAAUACCGGAUAGGAGCUCCUGCUGCAUGUUGGGGGUUGGAAAGUUUCGGCUGUUGGGGAUGUACUCGCGGCUUAUCAGCUUGUUGGUGGGGUAGGUGCUUACCAAGGCUGUGACGGGUAGCCGGCCUGAGAGGGUAGACGGCCACAUUGGGACUGAGAUACGGCCCAGACUCGUACGGGAGGCAGAGGUGGGGAGUAUUGCACAGUGGGCGGGAGCCUGAUGCAGCAACGCCGCGUGCGGGAUGACGGCCUUCGGGUUGUAAACCACUGUCGCCUGAGACGAAGCGUGAGUGACGGUAAUGGGUAAAGAAGCACCGGCUAACUACGUG